AUUGAACGCUGGCGGCAUGCCUUACACAUGCAAGUCGAACGGUAACAGGUCUUCGGAUGCUGACGAGUGGCGAACGGGUGAGUAAUACAUCGGAACGUGCCCGAUCGUGGGGGAUAACGAAGCGAAAGCUUUGCUAAUACCGCAUACGAUCUACGGAUGAAAGCAGGGAACCGCAAGGCCUUGCGCGAACGGAGCGGCCGAUGGCAGAUUAGGUAGUUGGUGGGAUAAAAGCUUACCAAGCCGACGAUCUGUAGCUGGUCUGAGAGGACGACCAGCCACACUGGGACUGAGACACAGCCCAGACUCCUACGGGAGGCAGCAGUGGGGAAUUUUGGACAAUGGGCGAAAGCCUGAUCCAGCCAUGCCGCGUGCAGGAUGAAGGCCUUCGGGUUGUAAACUGCUUUUGUACGGAACGAAAAGACUCUGGUUAAUACCUGGGGUCCAUGACGGUACCGUAAGAAUAAGCACCGGCUAACUACGUGCCAGCCGCCGCGGUAAGAC
rnacentral:rRNA from 1 species